CGCCCAGACUCCUACGGGAGGCAGCAGUGGGGGAUAUUGCACAAUGGGGGGAACCCUGAUGCAGCGACGCCGCGUGGGUGAAGGAGCGUUUCGGCGCGUAAAGCCCUAUCGGCAGGGAAGAAGAUGACGGUACCUGACCAAGAAGCCCCGGCUAACUACGUGCCAGCAGCCGCGGGAAUACGUAGGGGGCAAGCGUUAUCCGGAUUUACUGGGUGUAAAGGGAGCGUAGACGGCAGCACAAGUCUGGAGUGAAAUCCCGGGGCUUAACCCCGGAACUGCUUUGGAAACUGUGCGGCUGGAGUGCAGGAGGGGUAAGCGGAAUUCCUAGUGUAGCGGUGAAAUGCGUAGAUAUUAGGAGGAACACCGGUGGCGAAGGCGGCGUACUGGACUGUAACUGACGUUGAGGCUCGAAAGCGUGGGGAGCAAACAGGAUUAGAUACCCUAGUAACU
rnacentral:rRNA from 1 species